ACCAAAACCAAGCUCAUCUCAUGGCAAAACCAACUUCAAUGGCAGGGAAACUGAGGUUCUACCCGGAUAAGCCCUCCUAUGAUCCUUCAAUGGCUGCAAAACAACUAAAACAAUAAUUCUACUAAUUUUAUCAACAUG